rnacentral:rRNA from 1 species
GAUGAACGCUGGCGGCGUGCCUAAUACAUGCGAGUCGAGCGAACAGAUGAGGAGCUUGCUCCUCUGACGUUAGCGGCGGACGGGUGAGUAACACGUGGAUAACCUACCUAUAAGACUGGGAUAACUUCGGGAAACCGGAGCUAAUACCGGAUAAUAUAUUGAACCGCAUGGUUCAAUAGUGAAAGACGGUUUUGCUGUCACUUAUAGAUGGAUCCGCGCCGCAUUAGCUAGUUGGUAAGGUAGCGGCUUACCAAGGCAACGAUGCGUAGCCGACCUGAGAGGGUGAUCGGCCACACUGGAACUGAGACACGGUCCAGACUCCUACGGGAGGCAGCAGUAGGGAAUCUUCCGCAAUGGGCGAAAGCCUGACGGAGCAACGCCGCGUGAGUGAUGAAGGUCUUCGGAUCGUAAAACUCUGUUAUUAGGGAAGAACAAAUGUGUAAGUAACUAUGCACGUCUUGACGGUACCUAAUCAGAAAGCCACGGCUAACUACGUG